rnacentral:tRNA from 1 species
GCCUGGCUGGCUCAGUGGUGGAGCGUGUGACUCUUGAUCUCAGGGUUGCAGGUUCGAGCCCUAUGUUGGGUG